rnacentral:rRNA from 1 species
GUGUGGAGCCGUAGCGAAAGCGAGUUUUAACUGAGCGUUCAGUUACUUGACGUAGACCCGAAACCGGGCGACCUACCCAUGAGCAGGAUGAAGCGAAAGUAAAAUUUCGUGGAGGUCCGAACCCACGAGCGUUGAAAAGCUCGGGGAUGACUUGUGGGUAGCGGUGAAAUUCCAAUCGAGCCCGGGGAUAGCUGGUUCUCCCCGAAAUAGCUUUAGGGCUAGCCUCAAGGUGAGAGAUACGGAGGUAGAGCACUGAAUGUCCUAGGGGGUAUUGCACCUACCGAAGACUAUCAAACUCCGAAUGCCGUCAUCUUAUACUUGGGAGUCAGACUGUGGGUGAUAAGAUUCAUAGUCGAAAGGGCAA